UCUAAAGGGGUGCCCAGUCGAUUGGCUGGUGCUGAGAACAUACCCAUGAACCUGAUCCGGAUAAUGCCGGCGUAGGUAAAAGGAUUUC
rnacentral:ncRNA from 1 species